UUGCUCAGCCAGUAGAGCAUGGCAUUAACACUGCCAGGGUCAAGGGUUUGAUUCCCACCCAUGCCA